AAUGCUCAGGUGAGUUUUUCUGAUCACUCGAUGUCCGGCGUCCGUUGUCUGUCUGUCUGUCGUCUGUCAACAUUUAGCUUGUGUAUGCGAUAGAGGCUGUAUUUUUCAAUUGAUCUUCAUGAAUAUUGGUCAGAAUGAUAACCUUGAUGAAAUCUAGGCCGAGUUCGAAAAUGGGUCAUCUCGGGUCAGAAACUAGGUCACUAGGUCAAAUCAAAGAAAAACCUUGUGUAUGCAAUAGAGGCUGUAUUUUUCAAUUGAUCUUCAUGAAUAUUGGUCAGAAUGAUUGCCUUGAUGAAAUGUAGGCCGAGUUUGAAAAUGGGUCAUCUCGGGUCAAAAACUAGGUCACUAGGUCAAAUCAAAGAAAAACCUUGUGUAUGCGAUAGAGGCUGUAUUUUUCAUUUGAUCUUCAUGAAUAUUGGUCAGAAUGCUUGCCUUGAUGAAAUCUAGGAUGAGUUCGAAAAUGGGUCAUCUCGGGUCAAAAACUAAGUCACUAGGUCAAAUCAAAGAAAAACCUUGUGUAUGCGAUAGAGGCUGUAUUUUUCAAUUGAUCUUCAUGAAUAUUGGUCAGAAUGAUUGCCUUGAUGAAAUCUAGGCCGAGUUCGAAAAUGGGUCAUCUCGAGUCAAAAACUAGGUCACUAGGUCAAAUCAAAGAAAAACCUUGUGUAUGGGAUAGAGGCUGUAUUUUUCAAUUGAUCUUCAUGAAUUUUGGUCAGAAUGAUUACCUUGAUGAAAUCUAGGCCGAGUUUGAAAAUGGGUCAUCUGGGAUCAAAAACUAGGUCACUAGGUCAAAUUAAAGAAAAACCUUGUGUAUGCAAUAGAGGCUGUAUUUUUCAAUUAAUCUUCAUGAAUUUUGGUCAGAAUGAUUGCCUUGAUGAAAUCUAGGUCAACUUCGAAUAUGGGUCAUCUGGGGUCAAAAAGUAGGUCAUUAGGUCAAAUCAAAGAAAAACCUUGUGUAUGCGAUAGAGGCUAUAUUUUUCAAUUGAUCUUCAUGAAAUUCAGUCAGAAUGAUUGCCUUGAUAAAAUCUUGGUCAAGUUUGAAUAUGGGUCAUCUUGGAUCAAAAAUUAGGUCACUUGGUCAAAUCAAAGAAAAACCUUGUGUAUGCAAUAGAGGCUGUAUUUUUCAAUUGAUCUUUAUGAAAUUUGGUCAGAAUUAUUGCCUUGAUAAAAUCUAGGUAGAGUUUGGUUAUUGGUCAUCUGUGGUCAAAAACUAAGUCACUAGGUCAAAUCAAAGAAAAACCUUGUGUAUGCAAAAGAGGCUGUAUUUUUCAGUUGAUCUUUAUGAAAUUUGGUCAGAACGAUUUCCUUGAUGAAAUCUAGGUCAAAUAAAAGAAAUACUUGUGUUUGCUCCAAUUUUAAUGAUACUUGGUCAGAAUAUUUUUUUCCAUGCAAUCACUAGGUC